rnacentral:rRNA from 1 species
UACGGGGGGGGCAAGCGUUGUUCGGAAUUACUGGGCGUAAUGGGCUCGUAGGCGGCCAACUAAGUCAGACGUGAAAUCCCUCGGCUUAACCGGGGAACUGCGUCUGAUACUGGAUGGCUUGAGUUUGGGAGAGGGAUGCGGAAUUCCAGGUGUAGCGGUGAAAUGCGUAGAUAUCUGGAGGAACACCGGUGGCGAAGGCGGCAUCCUGGACCAACACUGACGCUGAGGAGCGAAAGCCAGGGGAGCAAACGGG